rnacentral:tRNA from 1 species
GGGAAUGUGGCUUAGUGGUAGAGCGCUUGCCUACCAUGCAUGAAGCCCUCGGUUCCAUUCCUC